UACGUAGGCAGCGAGCGUUGUUCGGAGUUACUGGGCGUAAAGAGCUCGUAGGCGGCUUGUCGCGUCGGCUGUGAAAACCCGCGGCUCAACUGUGGGCGGGCAGCUGAUACGGGCAGGCUGGAGUUCGGUAGGGGAGACUGGAAUUCCUGGUGUAGCGGUGAAAUGCGCAGAUAUCAGGAGGAACACCGGUGGCGAAGGCGGGUCUCUGGGCAUUAACUGACGCUGAGGAGCGAAAGCAUGGGGGAGCGAACAGG
rnacentral:rRNA from 1 species